rnacentral:misc_RNA from 1 species
UCCGGGUUGCUCCCGGCGGUCUCGCCAGACAAGGUAACUGGCGACGAGGGUUGCGCUCGUUGCGGGACUUAACCCAACACCUCACGGCACGAGCUGACGACAGCCAUGCACCACCUGUGCACAGGCCCCGAAGGGCUGCCGUGUUACCACGACAUUCCUGUGCAUGUCAAGCCCUGGUAAGGUUCUUCGCGUCGCGUCGAAUUAAACAACAUGCUCCGCUGCUUGUGCGGGCCCCCGCCAAUUCCUUUGAGUUUUAGCCUUGCGGCCGUACUCCCCAGGCGGGGCACUUAAUGCGUUAGCUUCGGCACGGAGGGAGUCGACACCCCCCACACCUAGUGCCCAUCGUUUACAGCGUGGACUAC